rnacentral:pre_miRNA from 1 species
AUUUCUAGUUUUAUGAUCUGGAAUACUAGGUUCAUAAGAUUAAUUAUUAUAGAAUUUAGAUCUCCAGGAUCGUGAAUUAAUAAUG